CGCUGGUGUGGGUAUCGCUACUGUGAACGACUUCAAAUCUGUGGAGGGCGACAGAGCCUUGGGGCUCCAUUCUCUCCC
rnacentral:tRNA from 11 species